CAAACACAGGAUCAACACAUCAAGACAUUUCUGUCUAGGAGAUUACAAAGCAGAGAACUGACUGGAGAUAUUUUGUCAUCCUAUUAGGGCUGAAUUGGCAGUGAUGCUGAACUCUAGAGGAAAAAUUCAUCACUUAUGUCACUCCAACUGUACCAGUAUGCUCAUAUCAUCAUGUAUGUUGUCCAGAGCUUGACCUGGCCCGGGCUGGCCAUGCACUUGAAGGAAAGAACCACCAUAUGUCAUCCCUAAAGAAAUUGCUCCCAGCAACAUCCUUGCAGCUGCAAACAAUGAAGAAAGCUGCAACGUCCUGUAGUGGUUAUAGCAUGUCCUCCCCUUAAUUACAGGUUUAUGUGGUUUGGCAAAGCCCAUCAUCUGAACAGAUACAAAUCUGGGAAGGCUGCUUAUAUCGUUCGGUUCAACUGAUAUGCUGGUGCUGUCCCUGGGCUGAGGAAUGUGCAAACUAUGUAUGUUUGCUUCUUACUGUCCCUUCAGCAAAGAAAAUGGGGAGGAGAAUGGAAAGAGAGGAAAUUUUUAAGGUAUUAAUCUGCUUCCUUCUUUU
rnacentral:lncRNA from 1 species